UACAAGAAAAUUUUGCAAUUAUUAUUAUGUAUUAUUAUGCAUUAUUAUGUAUUAUUUUCGGCUUUAAUCGUUUGUCAGUCGCCCAUUUUAUAUCGGCUGUUCAUAGCUAAAAGUAUUUUCUUUUUAUUAAAUUAAAGGAAACGGAAAGCAAAUGAAUGGAAACUGUAUUGACUAUAUUGAUAUAAGUCCCGUGUUUUAGCAAACAUAGUUAUGUAAUACAAUAAAAAAGGACUGGUCUAUCGAAAAUAGAAAAACGUUUUUUAAAGAUAUUCCGAAGCAACUACAACAUAAACAGAUCGACAAGAGUAAAAUAGCAAGCAUCAGUAUACCGUUACACGAAUAAGAUUUGCUGCAAUUACGAGAGUGAUGCCGAUAAUGAGGAUUACGAUGACCUAUAAGCGCCAGCAAUGAUGAAUACGACGCCUCAUCAAGUCUGGUGAAACAGAAUGCGGAUAUUCGUCUAACACAUUACGCACAUAGUGCUUAUAACUUUGAGCUUUACUGCUGUUCGCAAUGUUCAUCCCACAGAUUCUAAUGUGCACCUGAUAAUCAAAUAAUACUCAUUGAAAGUUGUAGACAAUGAUCGGAAAGAGCUUAAUAUUUCAUAAGAGACGCGACAAAUUCUCAAUUCUCAGAAAAAUGACAAUGUUUAACGCGAAACGUAGAUUAAACUUAAAGUUGGCUAAUAAUGCUGGAUCCUGGAUCUUAGCCGCAGGGCAAUUUCCAAAUUAAAAUGAUUCGAUCCUGAAAACCUAUUUUCGAUAUGAAUGUUUUGUAUGGUGGAGGCAGAUAAUCAGACAGAUUUUCGCUGAUCCAGAAAAUCAUUCUAAUUCGUAAGCUGAGCCUGCUGUAAAUCUUUCUGUAUAUGGCAUUUAUCCAUAGAAAUUUAAUAUAUUGUAUAAUACUUUUUUAAGCGGUCAGGUGAU